GACGAACGCUGGCGGCGUGCUUAACACAUGCAAGUCGAACGGUGAAGCUCCAGCUUGCUGGAGUGGAUCAGUGGCGAACGGGUGAGUAACACGUGAGCAACCUGCCCCUGACUCUGGAAUAAGCGCUGGAAACGGCGUCUAAUACUGGAUACGAGAAGGGUCCGCAUGGGCACUUUCUGGAAAGUUUUUCGGUUGGGGAUGGGCUCGCGGCCUAUCAGCUUGUUGGUGAGGUAAUGGCUCACCAAGGCGACGACGGGUAGCCGGCCUGAGAGGGCGACCGGCCACACUGGGAAUGAGACACGGCCCAGACUCCUACGGGAGGCAGCAGUGGGGAAUAUUGCACAAUGGGCGAAAGCCUGAUGCAGCGACGCCGCGUGAGGGAUGACGGCCUUCGGGUUGUAAACCUCUUUCAGCAGGGAAGAAGCGAAAGUGACGGUACCUGCAGAAGAAGCACCGGCUAACUACGUG
rnacentral:rRNA from 1 species